rnacentral:rRNA from 1 species
GUGGGGAAUAUUGGGCAAUGGGCGAAAGCCUGACCCAGCAACGCCGCGUGAAGGAAGAAGGUCUUCGGAUCGUAAACUUCUAUCCUUGGUGAAGAUAAUGACGGUAGCCGAGAAGGAAGCCCCGGCUAACUACGUGCCAGCAGCCGCGGUAAUACGUAGGGGGCAAGCGUUGCCCGGAAUGAUUGGGCGUAAAGGGCGCGUAGGCGGCCUGGUAAGUCUGGAGUGAAAGUCCUGCUUUUAAGGUGGGAAUUGCUUUGGAUACUGUCGGGCUUGAGUGCAGGAGAGGUAAGUGGAAUUCCCGGUGUAGCGGUGAAAUGCGUAGAGAUCGGGAGGAACACCAGUGGCGAAGGCGACUUACUGGGAUGCAACUGACGCUGAGGCACGAAAGCGUGGGGAUCAAACAGGAUUAGAUACCCGUGUAGUCC